UUGCGCAAUGGGCGAAAGCCUGACGCAGCAACGCCGCGUGGAGGAUGACGGCCUUCGGGUUGUAAACUCCUUGGGUGGGGACGAGGAAGGACGGUACCCACACAACAAGUCACGGCUAACUACGUGCCAGCAGCCGCGGUAAAACGUAGGUGGCGAGCGUUAUCCGGAUUUACUGGGCGUAAAGGGUGUGCAGGCUGCCCGUCAAGUGGUGUAUGAAAGUGCCCGGCUCAACCGGGCUUGGUUAUGCCAGACUGACGGGCUAGAGAGCGAGAGCGGGACGUGGAAUUCCGGGUGUAGUGGUGAAAUGCGUAGAGAUCCGGAGGAACCCCAGAGGCGAAGGCGGCGUCCUGGCUCGCAUCUGACACUCAGACACGACAGCAUGGGGAGCGAACGGGAUUAGAAACCCCGGUAGUCCAUGCCGUAAACGAUGCAUACUAGGCGUCGGGGGACUCAACCCCCUCGGUGCCGCAGUUAACACGGUAAGUAUGCCGCCUGGGGAGUACGACCGCAAGGUUA
rnacentral:rRNA from 1 species